GUAGGUGGCAAGCGUUGUCCGGGAAUUAUUGGGGCGUAAAGCGCGCGCAGGCGGUUCUUUAAGUCUGAUGUGAAAGCCCACGGGCUCAACCGUGGAUGGUCAUUGGAAACUGGAGAACUUGAGUACAGAAGAGGAAAGCGGAAUUCCACGUGUAGCGGUGAAAUGCGUAGAGAUGUGGAGGAACACCAGUGGCGAAGGCGGCUUUCUGGUCUGUAACUGACGCUGAGGCGCGAAAGCGUGGGGAGCAAACAGGAUUAGAUACCCUGGUAGUCCACGCCGUAAACGAUGAGUGCUAAGUGUUAGGGGGUUUCCGCCCCUUAGUGCUGCAGCUAACGCAUUAAGCACUCCGCCUGGGGAGUACGGCCGCAAAGGCUG
rnacentral:rRNA from 1 species